GAUGAACGCUGGCGGCGUGCCUAAUACAUGCAAGUCGAGCGAACGGACGAGACGCUUGCUUCUUUGAUGUUAGCGGCGGACGGGUGAGUAACACGUGGAUAACCUACCUAUAAGACUGGGAUAACUUCGGGAAACCGGAGCUUAUACCGGAUAAUCUUUUGAACCGCAUGGUUCAAAAGUGAAAGACGGUCUUUCUGUCACUUCUAGAUGGUUCCGCGCUGCAUUAGAUAGUUGGUACGUUAACGGGUUACCAAGGCAACGAUGCAUAGCCGACCUGAGAGGGUGAUCGGCCACACUGGAACUGAGACACGGUCCAGGCUCCUACGGGAGGCAGCAGUAGGGAAUCUGCCGCAAUGGGCGAAAGCCUGACGGGGCAACGCCGCGUGAGUGAUGAAGGUGUUCGGAUCGUAAAACUCUGUUAUUAGGGAAGAACAGAUGUGUAAGUAACUGUGCACAUCUUGACGGUACCUAAUCAGAAAGCCACGGCUAACUACGUG
rnacentral:rRNA from 1 species